rnacentral:snRNA from 1 species
AUACUUACCUGGCGCAGGGGACACCAUGAUCCUCAAGGUGGUUCCCUCAUUGCGAGGCCUUCUCAUUGCACUACGAGGGGCUGACCAGUGCGAUCACCCCAAAUGUGGGUGACUCGGGCGCGUAAUUUUUGUUAGUGGUGGACUGCGUUCGCGCUAUCCACUG